UACGUAGGGUGCGAGCGUUAAUCGGAAUUACUGGGCGUAAAGCGUGCGCAGGCGGCUUUGCAAGACAGAUGUGAAAUCCCCGGGCUUAACCUGGGAACUGCAUUUGUGACUGCAUGGCUGGAGUGCGGCAGAGGGGGAUGGAAUUCCCGGUGUAGCAGUGAAAUGCGUAGAUAUCGGGAGGAAUACCGAUGGCGAAGGCAGGUCUCUGGGCUGACACUGACGCUCAUGCACGAAAGCGUGGGGAGCAAACAGG
rnacentral:rRNA from 1 species